CGCAUAACAGUGGCGCGUGGGAGAAAGGAAGGAGUAAGAAGAAAGAGGGCGGCGGCACGGCAGAGCCAAAGCCGAGGCGAGCCGAGCAGUACAUGCAUCCCGCUUCCCGCAUUCCUCAUCGAGGUCCGGUCCAGCAGCCUUUUGCGCCUUCGUGUCCCUCCCCUCCACUCCCUCACCGGGGGCUGGGCUGGUGGGGAGUGGGGACUGGGGGCAGUCGCCACGCCGCAGUCCAUUCUUUCGUCACCCAUCGCAGCUCCAACACCUCUCGCUAGUCGUCAUGGCGGCUUCCGCGGCAGCGUUCCCCCUCCCACCGCCGACGCCUCCUCUUCGACUUUCACAUGUCUUUUGAUAUCACAGAAAAGGAUUGCCCCUGCCUUCACUGCUGUGAAUGCCAGGGACGUUUCUGUCGCCCUACAAUAUAUGGACAUUGGACUUGAUAGUUG
rnacentral:misc_RNA from 1 species